AUUUCACAUGACGGAAAGUUGUCACCCCCAGACUGGUAUUUUUGGAACUGCUCAGUGUGUAAUCAGUUAGUGAUAGUAGCUAACGAUUACAAGCGUGAUGCCUGGAAAUAAAAUAAAUAGUCCAUCAACAGAGUGGAUUUAAACUAAGCCUGCCUUGUGAUGGCUGGUGCCAUGGCUUGAAUUCAGCAAGAACUGCCCGCUUGCUCUAAGCAUAUUCAACUGGAAAAUAGUGGAAAGAGAGAAGCCAUCUCGGGGAAGAGAAAAACUCCAUUGUCACCUGGGAUAUGGAGAAUCAAAGGUGAAGUCCAGGCUGAAAAAUGGGCAGAGAAAGGGCUGCCAUGUCUGAGAUGGGUGCUUCUACAGCAGGUUGUGUGUCGUGUAGGCUGUUACUUCCCUAGGUUUUUAGCUAGGAGUUUCCCCCCAGUGAGUAUAGCUUUACUCCUGACUGCUGGUGAUUCUGGGUGUUCAGUGUCAAAUUGUCCAGUAUAUUCAAUUUCCAACAUUUAAUGUAUGUUUUCACUUAAAUCAUGCCUUAUGCCAAUUGAUUGUGGAAGUGGGAGAAAUGGAAUACACAGUUUUGAAGUUAUCCAUUUUCCACAUCCAAAAUAUUUUUGGGCAACUGGGUCAAGUGUUUUGAUUUUAGCAGCAAUUAUAUUUUGCAGAUGAAAAAUAAAAAAGUAAAAGUACAACUUCCAGUAGGUUUCUGCUGAACUUUGAAAAUGAAUGAAAGGGCACAUUGUGAUACUCUUAUUCAUGCCAAAUAUUAUCUUACUCCACACCACGAGAUGCUAUUUAAUGUGAGCUAUAGCUUCAUAUUCUGGUCUAGCACUGAUUGACAUGUUCUUUUUGAAGUCAUAUGGAGAAAACCUACAUACCGAUCCUACCAUGAAGUAAUUAAUCACCUCGUAAUAGGCAAUAAAUUUACACUGUUGUAUUCUGUAGAGUAGAUACAUAUUUUAAUUAGCAUCCAUCUGUAGCUUGCAUUUUGCUGAUUUUGUAUACUUCUGUAUUUUAUAUACCAUUCCUAUUGACUGCCCAAGAGUACCAGUGCAGAUAUUUAGCAAGCUUCCUUUCCAACACUGUUUUAUUUUUAUUUAGGAGUUUUUACUUUAUAAUAUCAGUCUGUAAUUCUGAUAAGCUGCAUCAAGGACUUGCCAUGCCAGAUCCUGUCUUCAUGACAUUUUUGGAACUAGUGUACUCCAGAAAUAAUAGUGAGGAGUUAAAAAUGCUAUCUAAGAAGACACUGUGACAUGCAGCUAUCUAAAGAGACUGCUAUCUUCAUUAAAACAAAAAGUAAUAGCAUUUAUUAAAUUUGAGGAAAACUAGAGGCUACCUCCUUGUAUUUAAUACAAGUAAUUAUGUAUAUUAUUGUGAUAGAACAGCCUUGACAGUCUCCUCAGAUAGUUUAAACAGAAUCGUUACACGCAUAUCUGACUCUGUUACUGUUAAGAAGCUCAGCUGAUUUAUUAGUACAGUAUUGCCUUACACUUGGUUUAUUCUUUGGACAUGUUUCCAGAGGGUUUAGUUUCACAGUCUCUUGGGCAUCGCAUUUUGUUGACUAGCCAUCAUCUAAACUUGGCCAAAAGCAAUCAGAUGAGCUUUCCGCCCAAGCUCUAUAAGCUACAUCUGUUCUCAAUAAUUGACAACCAGUAAUCCUCCCCCAAAACUCCUCCUUGGGGCAUGCUGUAUCCUCACUUGCCCUGCAAAUUCAUCACUCACUCAGUUGUUGGCUCCGCAGAUCAGUCACCUGCCUUGUACUUUAUUUCAGCAAAACUUCCAAUGCUAUGGAAGAUGUGGUUGAGGCGAGAGAGCAUCAUGAACAACAGAAAAACAAAACUGAAAAUCAGAAAGCGUUUGGCAGUGCUAAGAGGCUGUGUCCCCAAUAGCACGGGCCCACUGCUGCUGCCCUGUUUUCCCCAUGGAAAGCAAGGCACUUGGGUUGUCCCUACAGCCUUCGAACAACCGUAGAGCCCGUGUUCCUGAAGAGGGCAUUAGAUGAAACCGCAGAGAUUCAGUCACAUUUUCUAUUUCCUACUAGCAUAAGAGCUAAGAUAAGGAAAAGGAAGUGGGUCACGAAUAACCAUUGCUUCAUUAUUGCCAUCUUAUCUGUAAAUCAAACUGCAGUAAUUAAGAAUCCAAUGGGGAAAGAGAACGUAAACUCCUAGCAAUAGAGAGGGAGACUGCGCGUUGUGCCUAUAUGUUAAGCCUAACAGGAGGUUACUUCAUUUUAAUAUUAUAUGAAAUAAUAAUAAGAAUUGGACUUGUGAAAUGAUAGCAAAGGGUUUUGUCUGUCUUCCCAUAAAGUCAGACUAGCAUGAGCGCUCUGAACAUUAGACAAGAUAAAAUUAUUUUAUUGAGAUAACUUCACCAUUCUCCAUUUUCUAACCAUUUUGUGUAACUUUGUGUUUUAUCUGAGAUGUUUGCAUUGUUUCUUUUUACCUUUAUUAACGGCUUUUUCCAUGAGAGCGUGAUGGUUGAAAAGCAACCUGAUGCAGUGGCUACAUAAAUUUGGAAAUAUUUUCUUGAAAUCUGUGGUACAACCCGUGAACUAUUGUGUGUCCAAGUGGAUUUAGUGUAUCAUAACGCUCCUAGAAAAACAAAAGGACAAAGAAGAUGGGAUUGCUAAGGGAGACAUUAGAUUUCAUUUCACACUGGUAAUAGUUUAGAGAUGUGUGCUGAGCAAAAUGGGAUUCAAUUCUGCAGCACUUCUCUUUUUUAUUGCUACUAAGUGAUUUCAAUAUCCAGUCUAAAGUGAUAUUGAGAGUGUUCGAUAGGAUGGGGAUGAAAUCAGGGAACGCUGGAGGCUCAGAGGAGGCCACAAAUCUCAGGCUGACUUGACGAAGCCUUUCAGGGCCAUCCCACCCGACCUUAACCCGUCUUAUUUAACCUGGAGGCUGCUGGUAAGUACCUUGCAAUGUAAGAUAUCAUUUUGUAUUAAAGGGAACUAUGCAGCUAGAUUGCAUUUUUGACAUCAAUUGAUGUUACCAUAGUUAUGGCUUUGGCCAUGAACUUACCGCUUUCAGAAACAUUUAUGGCUAGAAUUUUAUUGCCCAGCUGUUGCUGCCUGGUAGACAUAUCAUAACACGGAAAUGGCUUAAACCCUGUAACCUUUCAAUUUAUGACUCUUGAAAGCAGAUGAAGUUUGCUAUACAAACAAGGAGGCUUACCUGUAGUUCACAAGACAACAGCCACAAAUAUUCUACUUGGGUACCACUUCUCAAAGCAAAGAAGCUUCUAUCUGCUGUGAUGUAUGUUCUGCUUCUGAUAAACACGCAGCUAAAAAAGAAGGUCAGAAACCUCUCUUUGAAUGGGCAACAGAGGCAUGAGCAGAAGCGCUGGCAUCCUGUGAGGUCAACCUGUGGAGAAGAAACUAGGGGAGACCUCAAAAGCAAUAGCAGGAGGGGAAAGGGGCUUCAUCUGAGCCCAGCAGUAGGAGUGGCAGCACAGCCUUUUCAGGGAAAUCAUGUUCUGCGGCUGCACUGGAAGGACACUUGAAGAAAUGUGCAAACAUUUGGGGGCACUUCCACAUUGCCAAAAAGGUAGUUUGCUGGGUGGAAGUACUUGCUUGGACUUUAAAGAAGCCCUGCUGGUUUUGCUUUGCAUUUGUACUUACUCCUAUGAAUAAGUCCUACACACAAGCUUUUGAAAAUGGAAGUUAGUGAGGUUUAUGCAAUGAUCCUUGGAGAUUUUGCAUCUUUAGCAAGGAGAAGGUUUUCACAGGAGAGGGAAGAGGUGAUGGUGUUUACUGCCAGCUUAACCCUGGAGCCCUUGGUACGAGCUGUGGCCCCAGACUAUGGAGCAGCUGCCCGACGAGGAGUAACAGCACAAACACCUGCUCGAAUCCGCCUGGGAAUCUGAUGUGAGGAGAGGAGGAAACAUCCCAAGUCGUCAAAAAUCACUUGACAGAAGAGGAGAAACUACAACUUAUAUAGUAUACGUAUUUUGGGAGAAACAGGUCAGUCCGCAACACCAAACCGACAAAAGGAAUAUUUCAGACUGCCAGGAAAGAGUGAAACUUCUCUGAAGAAGCAGCAGGAAUCUUUUUGGUUGGAAGUACAAAACAAGAUAAAUACCAUGUUACCUUUUGGGUCAACUGCCUGUGUAGACUUCUGUCAGGACUGUUUGUAAUAUUUAUGCAUACUGUAUAAUUUAAGAUCAUAUAGGGUUUUUUCUUUUUAUUUUUAUUUUUUAACCUUGCCGCUCAAGAUAAACUGCAGCAAAAUGGGAUAGUGUUUUGAUUGCUGUAAUCAGACCUACCACACUUAAACGUUCUGAAGUGUUCUUCAUCUCCUAAUUUUCAGUUAUCGGUAACGUUUAUGUCCCACUUUGCUUGCUCUUGAAAUCAUAGCUUCUGAAGCAGAGGGCCAUAAGAGGUUGUCAGCAGCCUUUUAAACUGUGAAGUCCUGUUUUUCAGCAUCUCAGUAAUUUUCUUUUGCUUCUUCCUUUGGGAGAGAAGAAGAGAGGAAGCCGUUUUGGAUCAUGACUGCUCCUUGUUCUCUCCUGACUAUUCUUUUAAAAGAGGUGCUAAAAUUUUAAGGAUAACAUUAAAAAAAAUAAACAACCUAGAAAAUUAUUCGGCCGAUUCCUUCUUUAGUUUAAUGGGCACUAACUAUGAAUUGCCUUUGAAAAACCUAACCUGAGCUACUAAAUAUUUCUUUUUCUCUCCUCCUUCAUUUGUCAAAUAUUUUAUCAACAAAUUUAAUUAAAAUGACCACAAAAGAACCCAGAAAUACGUGUACAAAAGACAUUGGAUUUUUUGACAGAUAUGAACGUGCUAAUUAGCCUUCAAAUCAGCCACAUUAAAAAAUGAAGUCUUUAGUACACUUGUCAAUAGCUUUUUAUUAAAACUAAAGGAUUAGAUAAGUACCAAAUGUCAAAGAAUAGAUAAAGCUUUCAGCAUAUAGAAACAAUAUUGGUAAAACUUACUGAAUGGCUGUUUAUUGAAAAAAGACAUUUUAAUGAGAACCUGCAUCGCUGAAUCUUCCUCUAGUUGUGGGGGCAAGGAAAUUUAUACUAUUUGCUAGAGCUAUUUAAACUGUUUCUUUUAUGUUGUAUGGUUUUGUGCUGGCAUUUUUUUGAAGUUCUGUUUCUGUGGGUCUCCUUUCUCUUGUUUCUUAUUUGAGUGCUGAGGAUCAUCUGAGUCAAAACCAUUAACUUUCACAUGGUUUUCAAUCAAGACCUUUGCAAAAUGGCCUAUUUCACAAUGGCUUUAAUGGAAAAUAUAGAUUGCCUCAUAUUUGAUUUAGACCUCACCUCUAUGCUUGUUUUCUUUUUCUCCCCUCAGGUUAUACAGCUUUGCGUGAUUUUUCUCAGUCUUUUCUUGGAAAGAGAAUGUAACAUGGACAAUUGGUCUGCCUCUAAUUAUGUUUAAACUGCGCUGAAGAUCAUUAAUGUUAUUGCUAGUGACGUGCUUGCAGUUGUUAUCCUGAAAAUUAAAACUAUCAGUGGGAAAUCCUGGCUCCACUGAAGUUAAGGAAAGAUUUCCAUUGAGCGAGCAGUUUUGCCUACAUAUCUGGGCAUGCAGGUGUAAAUACAAUGAAACAUUAGAUCCCGAUUUGUCUCCAGCUCAUCUUUAAUAGAAAGACUGAUAAUUUUUACUAGAAAUAGUAAUGGUAGCUGUUACAGCUGAUAUUCUACAAACUGUUGGUUGACUUUUUCCAGGAAAAUUCUCCUAUAUGGAAUUUUCUCCCAAGACAGUCCAAUUGAAAUGAAAGUGUCAGUCCUGUUUAGUGAUCUUAUUUAAAGAAUUGGGAUGCCAAGUCCUUUUUCACCGGUGUCAGAGCCGAUUUCUGCUGAGGCAGUAAUAGCACCUGAAGCCAGGAGAGUUUUAUAGGGCCCAAGUUGCCAUAAGAGCAUUUCUUAGUGUUAUUACUGUCUUUUAUUAUUGUGUAAAAAUACGCUUUUCUGUAGUAUCCAGGCACUGCAAUAUUUACCUAACUAUUAAACUAACAGUAUACAGUAAAUGAACAAGUGACCAUAUGGCUUUGAUGGAUGAGGUGGGGGUUUACUGCAGAAGAGGUAAUUUCUCCUUGCUUCACUUACAAGCGCCGUCACAGCCUGAAAGGAGGAAUACACAGAAUAAAAAGGCAGUGAAGAGGCUGCCUGGGUAUGAUUUUUUCUUCGGAAAAGGUUUGGUGGUUCUUUUGGGCUGCAGCUGGAAGGAAGCAUUGCUCUUUUCAAACACCUAAUCUAACACCAUCUGAAAGAGUGAAGGAAACAGGCUCAAGAAAGAGUUGUUUUGGAAUGCUCAUACUGAAUAUGACAAAUAUUUCUGACUGUGUCAUUGGGGCCUUAUGUAAAAAUGGGAACUCUGUUUAAAUUUUUUAAAUUAUUUUUUUUUAAUUUAAUUUGUGUCACAGCUUUGCUUUCAGGCCACUAUGAGCACUAUUUCCAAAGAGUCCUAAGACAGUAAUGGGCAGGGCUGGUGAUAGGAGUGAUCUGUUCCCUCAAGCAUGAGGUUUUUUAAUGUAUUAUUUGGGUGUAAGUUCUAAAAGUGUGGGUUUUCCUCACUAGAAAUGUUCAGUUCUGCCUCCCAGGUUCAGCAGAUCUGAUCUGCAAUUACGUUCCUCAGCCUACCCACACCCAAACAUGGUUUGCCUGUCACGUGGAUUCAAAAGAAAAGGUGGAAUAGAAAUUAUUGUCUAAAUAAAAGACAAUUAAAGAGGAAAAAAAAAAAAGAGAAAAAGAGAAUCUGAUGUGGCCCAAAGUUCCAUUAUAUUUCACAGAAAUCUUCCAUAGGUUCUUUCUGAUGGUUCUUUUGCUUCACAUUGACCUCUGGUGCUUGUGAGUCACCUGAAUUUUGGCCUGAGAGCAUCCUCAGGAGGAAGAGCUCAGUUCAAAACUGAUAAAGCUGAGCUGAGAAGAAAGGCAACUGGAUGCAGCCUCAGUAUGAAAGUCCUCUUUCAGUCAUGUCCCAAUUUGUACUGGGUGUCUUAAGAGGGCAAUGCUGAUUUUUAUUAUUUUCUUAAAUAAUAGUAAACGCUUUCAUAAAGUGUUACAAAAAGAUGGCCAGGUUUGCUUCUUGGGUUUUCAGCAGUGUGAGUUGUUGGCUUUUUUUCAUUUCCCUGGUGAAAAUCUAACGUCACAAAUGCAUUUGGAGUGUACACAAACCUUGAGAGAAAAGAGCAGAUUUGUUUAUUGAAAAUCAUCACCAUGUUACUUUUAGCAGCAGGGAAAAUGUAACGGCAGGAAAUUAUUCAAACCCCGUGUGUCCUGACUGCCAAAUGAAUUUGUAGGAAUACAGAGCAUAAUAAGGAAACAGACUCACUAGACCGCAUUUUUAGUCUUCUGCUUUUUUAUGAAAUUAUUUUCAUUUAACCCUGUUUCAGAGACAGAAGUCUCUCCAGCUUCUCAAAGUGAGCAUAUGGACAAUAUAUGGCUAUCACAACUAUGUCAUAAUAUCCAGCUGCUAUUCACAUGGAUGUCGGGAAUGGCUGGCUGGGUUAUGCUGAGUGAGCCUGAUGCUUACCUAAAAAUAUUUCUGAAUACUUUUUGUUAGUUGCCAUUGAAUUUGGAUAGUUGCUGAUCCUUGCCAUGGAUCGUUGAGAAGUCAAGGUAGCAGGUGGUUCGAAUUAAUGGAAAUACGGAGCUGUCUGGAGGUGAGGAAAAGGAGCUUAUUCUUUCUUCUCUGCCUUUACGGAUUGCGAGUUGGGUGGCUCGGGGUCAUGAAAAGUCUGGGUGGGUUUGAGAUCCUUGAAAAUGCCAGAAAGGGAGUAAUUGGAUGACUGGUACAGACUGCAGACGGGGCUCUUUUGUCCCUGCCCUCAGUGAAUGAAAUUCUUUUCCUUCUACAUUCAAAUCUAACAGACUUUUUGAUUUCACCCUAGAUGGUUUCACCUUUGAGCUAAGAAGCAGCCUAAGAGGUAAGGUAUGUACAACUGGAGCAAAUCAUUCAAGUCUCUUUUAAAAGCGAUGCGUUAUGCACGCACAAAUUUUUAAAAAGACAAUUAUAAAGACACAUGUUUAAGAAAAGUGCUUUUGUAGUGAAUAAAACAAAAUUAUUUCUUCACGCUCCUGUGCAAAGUGGGUGGCUACAAAGCAUGUGCAUAGAUUUCUGGUGAUACAAUACAAACGGUACAGUAAUAAUAAGUUUUUUCUGUCGCCAGAGAGUCUGCACAAAGAUUCCAUCAGCAUUUUGCUCAGUAUGAUAAAAAAUGCGUUACAUCCUCAACAUCAAUGGAGGUUCAAAGUGAAACAGAAUCAAGAAGAAUAAGGUAACCAUAAAGAAAAGAAAUAGCUAAAUGAUAUUAAGGAAGCCAAGAUAACUGCAAAAUUAACAACACAAUAGCUUAUAGAGUCUGCUUCUGCUAACAAAAGACAAUCUUUACCACCUAGCAUAUCCAUUCAGUCCUGGAAAGAAAAGGUAAUUACAUUCUGAAAUGAACAAAAUAGUUAAAGUGUGGGUUUACGAUGAUAAUUUAAAAUUUGAAGUUAAGAUACUUGAACUGUGACCCUCAGUAAAAAGCGAGACUUCCCGUCUCCGCUGACACCACAAUGCUGAAUAAUGGCAAAGGCAGCCUGAAGUCCAGAAUAGGUCCCUGACCACUUUUCUUGAUUUAUUGCCAUCCUCACUCGAUGACUCGACGUGAGAGUCAUGGGGGAGACAUCUGCAGGCUGCCUGGAUGCAGGAAGAGCCCCUUGGGGCAUGGCUGCAUGGAGCAUGGAGCGCGCCACCAGGAUACGGUAUGUCUGUGUGACAGCACCGCUGGCCAGAAAAGGCAUGAAGGGAUUUCCUGGAAAGCACGAUCCUUUUGGGAGAGACUUUCCUAUCCCUUGCUGAAAAUUAAAUUUGGAAGGUUUCUACAAGCACUGUGGCAGGACAGCACCUCUCAGACCCCAGGGUGGUCUGAAAGUGCUUUGCAGUAGGACAGUGCACGUGCGGCUGAUGGCGAGCUCCUUCCAGAGAGCAGAAGCCGACAGAGCCGCUCGUGGGUUUCAACAUGGAAAUUCAACGGAAACAAACAUGUGCAGAUUGCGGUGUCUGAAGUCACAAAAAGGAAUUGGCCCGAGGGGUGCAGGCAGUGAAAUACAGCUCUUCAUCAGGGCAGCCUGUUCCCUUGCACGUAGGGCUCCCAAAGGGAGAACCGGGACUCUCCCAUCCAGCAGUCCUGAAACUCAGCAGAAAAAAUACUAGCAACAGGUGGAGGGACAGCCCUAAAAGGUCUCCCCCAUGACAGGAAUCCCUUUGUAUCGAGUUGGUAACUGACCUAAGCAUACUCCUCCCGUUGGCUAGAGGUCUGUCAAGGCACUUGCUGCAUAGUUAGCAGGGACGAGGUGGCUUUUGCCAAGACCCCAUCCAUCUGUAAGGGAUGGUAGCCACAGGCUGAAAGGCUUAAGUGUGCUUGUAGUUUUAAAUAGUUCCAAAUCUCUAAAAUGCAAAACCUGAGGGUUUUGUGCUCAGCUACCACUUCUCUGUGGGAACCCUAUCCUGGAGACAUUCUCCCAUGGAAAUCUCCUGCUUUGUAUUUGUGGUUGAAGCCAAGUGACACAGCGAUAUUUUGGGGCUGGCUUUUUGUUAUUUUGCUGUUUCCAGCUACACAUUUAUCUUCAAAAGUAAAGGUCAGAGGCUUGUAUUAAUUAGAUAUCCUUCAAAAACGUGUAUCUUGGAGCUCUUCAAAAGGCAGAGUAAUAAAGAAAAGGUGAAAAGAAUUGCAGAAAAGGAGGCUAGGUAAGAUGAGAACUAUUUUAUUUCUGGUUUGUUUUGGAUUCUAUUUUUUUUUUAAUUGUUUCUAUUAUUCACAUCUCUUACAUACAGAGAAGUUUCAAAUGAAGUCAAUUAAACCUUAACACAGUUCACCUUUGAACACAGUGCAUAGGUAGAAAUGGCUCCUGAGGUCACUGUGCUACUGCAGCAGCCCAGCAAGAGCCAAUGUAAUUUUGUUUAAAUUCAAAACAUGUUCUGGCAAAGUAUGUCCAUCUGCUAACCCUCUGGCUAGGAGUCAGGUCUGCAAAAGUAAUAUAAAGAUGCGACUCUUGGUUCUAGUACGAUUUUUCACCCCUUCAGGUGCCUCCAAGAGCUUUUCAGCUGCCUGAAAUCAGUUCUCCAACAACACAAGAAAACAGCUAACAAAUGUAAGGAGGGAGAGAGGCAGAUUAAAAGAAAGAGGGGAAAAGCCAUUCAAAGGAAGAAGCAAGAGAGAGGCAAGAAAACCAGAAGGCAAUGCAUGCUCGCCAGGUUUGGAGCAGGGAGAGGCUCUGUUGCUGUUCGGUUUGUUGUUGGAAAUAAAUGGGGGAAUGGAUGAGGGGAGCCUUUUGUGGAAAGACUUGGGGUAGGAGGAGGAUGUUACUGAGUUGGGGGGUUGAAAGACAGUGAUACUAAUUAUUUUAUCCAUAAAGUGUUACAGACAUAUUUAAAUAUUCUGAUGGACCUUCAAAUAUUUUUGGCAGUUCUGCAGCGUUUGCAUCCGUCAUCAAAAAAAGGUGAAACCACCACACGUUCCUGGGAAUUGGUUCAUGUGCCAAAAAAAGAGGCAGUCUCCUUCAUUUAUCCUUGUUUUGUGCUUAUGCACUCAUGUUACAACAUGAUGAAUUAUUCGUGUCUUACAAUGCUACAGGUUGACUGCAUCAAAUUGGAUGAGUGUAAAAUAUUUCAAUGCAGUAAUCACCAUAUGUUUCAAAAAUGCUUUUCUGCAUAUGAUGGAGUACAUGUAUAUAUGACCAUAAAUAAAGAAGAAAGAAUAUUAAUGCAUGGCUUUUAAGAAAAACUUAUGUGAGAAGCAGAAUAACAGCUCUGAUCAAUAGUGAACAGAGAAAAUAAGGGACAAUAAUGUAGAGUCAAAAGUCAGUGUUGGGGAGAGUGGGAAGUGAGAGAGGCAGAGAUAACCUAGCAAAGGCCUUCCAAAUGUUAACAUAUGGAUGUUGAAAAUGGUACGUUGAACCAGAUAUAUCUCCCUGAAGAAGAAAGCAAGUGUCUUGCAGGGUAGGUGUAAAUAUGCCUUAUUAAGGACCUGAACUGGGGUCAGUAAGACCCUACCAGCCAUCACCUAUGGCAAUGGAAACAGAGCAGCAUGCCAGUGGGAUUGUGCUGCCUCAGGGGGUGGCUGCAGCAGUCAGAGUUUUGAAUGAAAAUGCUGAAUAACUUCGCUGCAGGAACUUGCAGCAGGAAUUGAUAUGCAUACAAGUUCAGCCUUCCAUGGGCAGGAACAGGCACAGAGGCAUCCUUGGUCAUCCUGUGAAGGGCCAGGAGUGGCAGGGCACGGAAGGACAGUGAGCCACACACCGAGACGAUGAGGCGUACUGUGUAACUUGGGUUUUGCAAGUGCAAAUUGCACCCGUAAAGCUGAACCUGUCUUUUUUUAAGCAUUUGGGCUGCAUGUUGUGGUGUUGCAGAACACAAGAAGGAAUUUUGAAGAAUCAUUUCAAUAAAAUGAACGUGUGGGAGCAACGAGGAUGGUAGGAUUUUAAUUUGCAGCUUAAAUAGGUUUAAAAAUGAAGCACCAAAUAUGAAACUAUGAAGGCAGGAGAGGUUGUUUGUAGGUUUUUUGUUUGUUUUAGAAAGGAAUAUUCCCCACCCCACCACCCCCCGCCCCAGCUUGGACUACAGAUGGGUCUCAUGGGAUUUGCUUUCAGACAUAAGGGAGAUAUUCAGGCUUUCAGAUUUCAUUACCACUUUCUUCGUUAUUGUGCCUUGAGGAACUAUAAAUAACACAUGGCUAAUUUGUGAAUAUGGCACGUUCCAGGGGAUAUGUGUAUUUUAAUCAGGGCACCUUCUGACAUUUGGUAAUUGGUUUACAGAUUUGUUAUAUAACUUCAUGAUUAUGAAGUUGCUAAGAGGAAAAAAUCUAAAUUUAUGUGAUCUAAAAGCUGCCCUCACUGGACCAUUACAGCAGCUGUGAUUCUUAUAGGUCUAACUGAGGACAGAUUUUAAGCCGAGUACAUAAACCGUCAUCUUUUUUUUAUUUUCUUAUGGGUUUAGUAAUGUAAUUAGGAGUUACAUUCUUCAUGGUAUCCUUCUUUUAAUUAAAGCUCUUUAUUUGUGUGUAUAUUGCUAAACUGCUGUUAAGAUAUAUGAAAAUUUAGUCCAGUGAGAAAUCAGGGUUUGUGUUGGAAGGUGCAUAUUUGUCGCUGGGUGGGUUUUUUCAGUCUGUUGAACAGAACAAGCGUGGCAAGUCCUCAGGUUGGGAGCAGCCUUCUUAGGUGCUGCGAAAGAUGCUUGGAGAAAUCUGUGCAAAGUGACCAUCCACAAAAGCCAUACUAUUUCUGGAGGGGACGCAAGUUAUUUAAGUACUACAGCAAGUAACCCAUCAGCAACAGCUACGUCACUAGGUACGAAGGUGUGAUUUUUCUGCCCAGCCAGAGAUCCCUGCAUAUGCUUGUACCAGCUGCUCACAAGCAGCACAAGCUGCCCCAUCACCAUGGCACGUGGAGCUGCCCCGUCACCAUGGCAUGUGGAGCUGCCCCAUCUGGCUCGUGGAGCUGCCCCAUCACCAUGGCAA